rnacentral:lncRNA from 1 species
UGCAGUUUUUGUUUUUAAUCGUUCAGUAAAUGAGUGCACAGGUGGUAAAAAGGCGUCAUGUAUCCAACUUGUUUGACUCACAUAUUGGCCAAAGAAACAUCGCUUCCAUUGUUGAGUUCAAUAUGAGGACCGUUUGCAAUAUCCAACAUGCGAAGAACAUAGACAUAGGGGCCCCCAGAACUACAAGGCGCUAUCAGGGGCAUCAUAAAACACAAACCAACACCAAAGUGUGGAGUGGGGAGUAUAUCAUCUACCUCCAAGUUUUGGGCCAACCAACCUGAGGACAAAUUUGUCGAAGCCGUUACCAGCUUCAAGUACCGUUUUGAAGCUGCCAUUGCUGCUAACGGAUACCUAAUCGAAUAGGAUGUAGCCUCUGUGAUUUGCCAACAAUAUUUGUGAAUAUAUUUGUUUCUUAUCAAUCAAUAAAAUUUUGGACAUAGCUUUUUAACCAAAAUGUAAUGUUUUUACUAGGAUGAAAAUUUGCAUCUGUACACUGUAUAUAAUGCUAUUCCUUUUUGUAUCAAUUUGCAUAGUAUGAAUUCGAUUUACUUCUUUUUAUUUACAUAUUACA